rnacentral:rRNA from 1 species
UACGUAGGCAGCGAGCGUUGUUCGGAGUUACUGGGCGUAAAGGGUGUGUAGGCGGUUGUUUUAAGUUUGGUGUGAAAUCUCCCCGGCUCAACUGGGAGGGUGCGCCGAAUACUGAAUGACUUGGAGUGCGGGAGAGGAGAGUGGAAUUCCUGGUGUAGCGGUGAAAUGCGUAGAUAUCAGGAGGAACACCGGUGGUGUAGACGGCUCUCUGGACCGUAACUGACGCUGAGACACGAAAAGCGUGGGGAGCAAACAGG